UGCAUUUUAGCUCACUUGGUAGAGCGUGAGACUCUAAAUCUCAAGGUUGCAGGUUUGAGACCCACACUGGGCAA